rnacentral:rRNA from 1 species
CCUACGGGAGUCAGCAGUGGGGAAUAUUGCGCAAUGGGCGAAAGCCUGACGCAGCGACGCCGCGUGAGGGAUGAAGGUCUUCGGAUCGUAAACCUCUGUCAGCAGGGAAGAACGGUCACUGUGCUAAUCAGCAGUGAAUUGACGGUACCUGCAAAGGAAGCACCGGCUAACUCCGUGCCAGCAGCCGCGGUAAUACGGAGGGUGCGAGCGUUAAUCGGAAUUACUGGGCGUAAAGCGCGCGUAGGCGGUAUGUCAAGUCAAGGGUGAAAGCACCGCGCUCAACGUGUGAACUGCCUUUGAAACUGGCAAACUUGAGUGUGUGAGAGGAUAGUGGAAUUCCAGGUGUAGGAGUGAAAUCCGUAGAUAUCUGGAGGAACAUCAGUGGCGAAGGCGACUAUCUGGCACAUAACUGACGCUGGGGAGCGAAAGCGUGGGUAGCAAACAGGAUUAGAUACCCGAGUAGUC